rnacentral:rRNA from 1 species
AUCGAACGCUGGCGGCAGGCCUAACACAUGCAAGUCGAGCGGAGCGGCGGACGGGGGAGUAAUGCCUAGGGAGCUGCCUGGUAGUGGGCGAUAACGUCCGGAAACGGGCGCUAAUACCGCAUACUAGCAGAUGAGCUUAGGUUGGAUUAGCUAGUUGGUGGGGUAAAGGCCUACCAAGGCGACGAUCAGUAGCCGGUCUGAGAGGAUGAACGGCCAAAUUGGGACUUGGGAACGGCCCAGAAUCCUACGGGGGGGAACAGGGGGGAAUCUUCCGCAAUGGGCGGAAGUCUGGCGGAGCAACGCCGCGUGGGUGAUGACGGCCUUCGGGUUGUAAAGCUCGUUAAUCGGGGAGGCGGUACCGGAAUAGAAAGCCACGGCUAACUACGUGCCAGCAGCCGCGGUAAUAC